UACGUAGGGUGCGAGCGUUGUCCGGAAUUAUUGGGCGUAAAGGGCUCGUAGGCGGUCUGUCACGUCGAAAGUGAAAACUCAGGGCUCAACCCUGAGCCUGCUUCCGAUACGGGCAGACUAGAGGUAUGCAGGGGAGAAUGGAAUUCCUGGUGUAGCGGUGGAAUGCGCAGAUAUCAGGAGGAACACCGGUGGCGAAGGCGGGUCUCUGGGCCGUUACUGACGCUGAGGAGCGAAAGCGUGGGGAGCGAACAGG
rnacentral:rRNA from 1 species